rnacentral:rRNA from 1 species
ACGGGUGAGUAAUACGUGAGUAACCUGCCCUCUUCUUUGGGAUAAGCCUUGGAAACGGGGUCUAAUACUGGAUAUUCCUGUCUGGUCGCAUGGCUGGGUGGGGAAAGUUUUUUCGGUGGGGGAUGGGCUCGCGGCCUAUCAGCUUGUUGGUGGGGUGAUGGCCUACCAAGGCGUCGACGGGUAGCCGGCCUGAGAGGGUGACCGGCCACACUGGGACUGAGAUACGGCCCAGACUCCUACGGGAGGCAGCAGUGGGGGAUAUUGCACAAUGGGCGCAAGCCUGAUGCAGCGACGCCGCGUGGGGGAUGACGGCUUUCGGGUUGUAAACCUCUUUCGUCGGGGGACAAGGCUCUGCUUGGUGGUGGGGUUGAGGGUACCCGGUGAAGAAGCGCCGGCUAACUACGUGCCAGCAGCCGCGGUAAUACGUAGGGCGCGAGCGUUGUCCGGAAUUAUUGGGCGUAAAGGGCUCGUAGGCGGCUUGUCGCGUCUGCUGUGAAAAUGCGGGGCUUAACUCCGUACGUGCAGUGGGUACGGGCAGGCUAGAGUGCGGUAGGGGUGACUGGAAUUCCUGGUGUAGCGGUGGAAUGCGCAGAUAUCAGGAGGAACACCGAUGGCGAAGGCAGGUCACUGGGCUGUUACUGACGCUGAGGAGCGAAAGCGUGGGGAGCGAACAGGAUUAGAUACCCU